rnacentral:rRNA from 1 species
CACGUAGGGCGCGAGCGUUGUCCGGAAUUAUUGGGCGUAAAGAGCUCGUAGGCGGCCUGUUGCGUCCGCUGUGAAAGCCCGGGGCUUAACCCCGGGUCGGCAGUGGAUACGGGCAGGCUAGAGGUAGGUAGGGGAGAAUGGAAUUCCCGGUGUAGCGGUGAAAUGCGCAGAUAUCAGGAGGAACACCGGUGGCGAAGGCGGGACUCUGGGCCGAUACUGACGCUGAGGAGCGAAAGCGUGGGGAGCAAACAGG